UAUACUAUAGAAUGCAAUUCCAAACUACGCAAUUAUUUUGGAAGUUAGCAAUACAAUAAGAAACUGACAUAUCAGGAUCAACAGAUAUUUACUUGAAUCAAAUUAGUAUCAUCAUUUGGAGUAAAGUUGUUCAUAAUAAUGAUCUACAUUCCAACAUAAGGUUAAGAACUCAAACAUACUUACUGCUGGUGGGGUUUAUUUGUGUUGGUUGAUGAUUGUAAGGUUGAAGAUAAAGGGGAAAAAAUAUAAUGUAGAAAGACUAUGAUAAAAUCAAUGUUCCUCUUGAAUCUAAUGGUUGAGAUUUACUUUCCCAUGAUGGAAAAGAAGUUUGCUUUCCCAAAUUAAAUGGCACCUACUUCUAUAGCAUCGGCUAGCAAGGAUCAGGAGAGACAAGAUAACGGUUGAAGCAUCGUCACAAAAUACUCUGAAUGAGAUUAGUGCCAAGUUUAGCAAGUACAUAUGCGCAAGAGUUUCCUUUCCAAAAUCACGAUGAAUGGAAAUAUCUCACUUCUUAAACAAAUACACCUGAAUGAGCUCCAAGAGGUCCGCAUAGCGGUGAAGCCUCAUCACUUCCUUUGACACUAAAUGCAUCACAUAAAGAGAGUCCGAAAAAACAAAUCAGUUUCUUAUAACCAGCAAAGCAUACAAAAUAUUGGACAAACCUACACUACCAUAGAAGGCAAAACUCCUAACCAAUUCACCAUAGUCUACUUUACCUGGAUUAGUUAAAACGCUUCCAUCCACAUUGAGUACCGUUUUAUCAUUAUCACCAUGCUGCCAACAUACUUCAUGAGUGGGCCUAACUCAACUGGUUGAAACAAUAUUGUUGAAUGUGCACUGUGAAACUUGCAAUUGCGAAUAAACUGAAACCGUAGUUGAGACUAUUAGUUGGAUACCAUCAACACCAACUUGUUUUGAGUGCACCAUAGGUACCGUAUUAUGAUAGGGGAGACUUGCUAAUUAACAUUUGUAUUAUAUCUCUGAUAUUACUCAAAAGUGUAUUAGCGCACAACGAAGACACGUUGGGGAAUCCACACCCAAACCACACUUCAACAAACCGCUGAAGGACGAGGCAAUGAAGAAUAGAUUUAUCUUACCCACUACAACAUAGACAUGUAAUAACUCUCACUCUUCGAUGAUGUAUGACAAAUUUAGUUGAAAUAAAAUUAUGACAAACUUGUUAGAUAAAAAAUUGCAUACUAGCUGAAAGUAAUAACUUUCAAACCCAACUUUCUUGCUCCGGUGUUAUGCAUUUUUUGGUGUGUAUUCUCCAUUUAAAUUGUCUUUCCACACUCAAAUGUCAUCAAUUGAUGUAAAUAUGUUUGGUUUCAACUAUUCCUCUCAAAGAAAUGUUUGGUUUCAACUAAAGUCCAUCCAUCAAAAUUUCAUAACAAUUGAGAUUAUUACUUAAACGGUGUAUCAACCACUUACACUAGACCUAAUCUAAUCAUAUGUACAAAAUGAAUAUGGUGGAAGCAACUGAAUUUGUUUUUGUAAACUUUGGCCCACAUGGGCCUUGGCUAACCUUUUCCUCCUCCACAUGAUACAUGUGUAUUGUGUAGGACAUUCAUCAAAUGAAAUAUAAAUAUUUGCUAUAUCAAUUUGCUAUCUUUAUAAUGUGUCCGUUAAGAUAACUAUCUCAGUUUUGGUUCAUAAGUCAGAAAACUUCACCUGCGCUCUGGCAUUUGUCACCAACCAUUCCCUCUCUCCCCACACCUGAUUCUCUUUACUUUUUCUUUUUUGGUGGAGAUUUACCAACCUUACCUUACCAAUCAACACAUGUACAUAGCUAUAAACUAUUUUGAUAUAUGAUCGGUAUAAUAAUACAAUAUAUUUAAUUGGUGGAUGGAUGAUUAGUAUCACUAAUUCGUUUAAUAAUUUAUAUAUCUAGAUUAAGAAACUAGAAAAAAAAGGUUUAAUCCUAAUACCAAGGAUGCGGGUCCUUGAAGAUUCGAUUCUAACACAUAAAAGAGCUAACAAUCAUUAGAAAAUCCCUGCAUUCAAAUGACGUACGCAACUCAAUAAUGUAAAUAAUAUACUUUUAUGUGCAUAUAGCCACCCUAUAAUGAGUGAGUGGGAAGUAUAAUAGCAAAGUAUACAAUUGAAAAUGGAAUUUGCUUCUCAAGUUCCACAACUUAUUAGUCAAAUAAAGGUGGCUAGCAAUCACUAAUCAAUGACCCAAAGUAAAGUAUAAACGGGAAGAUUUGAUUUAUGAUUGUGGCAAUUAGAAAAUACUUACAAAAUCUAGGGCUUGAUAUGAGUUGUGUUUAUAGGAAGGGACAAAUCUGGGAGAGUGCAACUUUUAGGUACAAGGUCUAGCUGAGGAAGUAUAUUGGUCAAUAGUCCCAUUAAUUAAUUAUACAAUUUAGAUGAGGAUAAACUCUAUGGCACCGGCCAAUUACAUAUAGUAGUACUUGUGUACAAGCAUCUACUUAUCCCUUGGCUAUGGAAUGAUAAGGUAAAACUCUGUUAUUUACAAAUUAUAUAUACUUCCUCUAUUUCUAAAUAUAAAUAAAAUUGACCUUUUAGGUUAAUUUAUUUAAUGAUGUAAGUGAUUCAAAAUUAACUUUUUAGAUUCAUUUAUUUAAUGAUGUAAGUAGUUCAUCCACUUACAUCAUUAAAUAAAUGAAUCUAAAAAAUCAAUUUUACUAUAUUUAAAAACGGAGGAAGUAUAUCAGAGAACUUAAGAUUUCAUAUUUAUUAAUGGGUUAAUAGGUCUUUACCCCCCUGUAAUAUAGGGCACUUUUGGUUUUGCCCCCUGUAAUUUUUCUUUUUAAAUUCCGUCCUUGUAAAAUGAAGAUUCUUCAAGAUUGUCCCCUGAACCCUGUGACUCAGCAGAAUCUAUGAUGUGGCAUUUUUUUUUAUUUUUCAAUUUUUUUUUGAAUGCCAAGUGUAAAAAAUAAUUUACAUGUCAUUUAUAACUAAAAAAAAUAAAAAAAACUAUUUUUUUUAUAAAAAACGAAAAAUAUUUUAAAAAUCAGAAGAAAAUUACAAAAUUUUUUUCAAAAAUUUAUAAAAUUGAAAUUUUUAUUUUUAAAAUGAAGUUCCAGAUUUUUUUUAAAAUACUUCCUAAUUCCAUAUUCUUUUUAAAAAUUUAUUUUUUUUAAAAAUCGAAAAAAAAUUCAGAUAUUUUUAAAAAAUUAAGUUCCGGAUUUUUGUUAAAAUCAGAAAAAACAUUCAGAUUUUUUUAAUUUAUUUUUUUUUUUAAAAAAAAAUAUUUUAUAUUUCAAAAUCUUUAUUCCAGAAAUAUUAUAAAUUCUUUUUUGAAAUUAAAUAAUUAGAAAAAAUUCAAAUAUUUUUUACAAAUUCAUAAAAAUUAGAUAAUACUUUUUUUUUCGAAUUUUAUAAUUUUAAUUUAAUUCGGAUUUAUUUAAAAUUUUCGAAAAUAUCUGAAGUUAAGAUUUUAAAAAUUUAAAUAAAAUCAAUUUUUUUUUUCAGAUUAAAUAGUUGGAAUUUAAAAACAUUUAUAUCCAAAUUUUUAAAAAUUAAAAUAUUUUCCAGAAUUUUCAUUCUUUGUAGAAAAAAUUAAAAAAACUUUUUUAUUUCGAAAAAAAUCUGAAUGUUUUUUAAUUUCGAAAAAGAUAAGACAAUUUUCUAUUUCAGAAAAAAAAAUCUAAAUGUUUUUUAAUUUUUGGAAAAAAAAUCUAAUUUUUUUUCGAUUUAAAAAAAUAGUUUGAAUUUUUUAAAAUUUUGGAAAUUAAUUUUCAGAUUUUUUAAAAUAUGAUUUUCGUUUUUUUAAAUUUUAUUUUAAUUUUUAAUUUUUUUAAAAUAAAAAUGACGUGUAAACUAUUUUUUACACGUGGCAAGCAAAAAAAAAAAAGUCAUGUAGGUGCCACAUCAUAGAUUCUGCUAAGUCACAGAGCUCAGUGGGCAAUCUUGAAGAAUCUUCAUUUUACAAGGACGGAAUCUAAAAAAAAAAAUUUACAGGGGGCAAAACCAAAAAUGCUCUAUAUUACAGGGGGGUAAAGACCUAUUAACCCUUUAUUAAUUUAUAGACACUACAAUUUACUUGCGAAAAAAGUGUCAAAUGGUUAUGUAAUUAGGGUUAAAGGAGUGUACAAUUAAUCUCGAGAAAUGAAAAAUAAAAGUUUAUAUUAAUGCUAAUCAUUGUCCUCAUGGCACUGAUUAAGAAGUUUAAAUGAAAAGUUUUGUCUUGAAAAUGAUGCAUUCAAGACAUUGAAAAUUUAAAAAGUAAAUUUUUCUACAUAAAAUUUAUAAAUUAUUUCCAUUUUUAAAUCCUUAACCAUUGCUAUGAAGCCAUUGGUUAGCAAAACUCAUAAAUAAAAGACAACAAUUUCUAUCUAUAAGAUCCUUUGGCACUUCUUUUUAAUAUUCUUACACAAUUUAAUGUGUAUACUAGUAAUUUGUAAAUGCUUACUACUAAAUUACUCUCUUCAUACAAAUGUACUAAUAUUUUAUGACAAAUUUAUGUUAUUAAUAAAAAAAUAUUUGAAAAAAAGACUAAUGCGUAUAAUUUGCAUGUGGCUACUAUUACUUUUUUUUUUUUUGUUGAGAGAGCAACUAUUAAAUUAUUGUUUGCUAAUUUUGUUUUUUUUUUAAACACAACCAAUGUUAGUAUUAUGUAAGAGAGCAAGGUGUUUCAGCUUGUCUACUUUUUUCUCUCUCUUUUUAUAUUUUUCAGUUGGCAAAAUUAAGGAGUUAGGUUUACUUAGCUGGUAUUUCAACUUGUUACCUCCCUCAAUGUCAGUUUCUUUUGGACCAUUUUUCUUAUUCACCACCAUCUUACCUGAAAAUCGUUACCAGUUCACUCCUUAACUUCUCCACUCCGGCCACCAAAUCAUGUGUUACAUAAUAAAAGACUAACGUAUGUAUAUUGAAUUUAGGAAGUAUUAAAUGUUAAUUGACUUUAUUGACUUUUUAUUUUCACAUUCAAGGCAAAAAAUUACUAAUGUUUUUUGUUUAUAAAAAACUACUGUUGAAUACUCCCUCCGGUCUUAUUUACAAGAGAAUGUUGACUUUUUAGAUACAUUAAAUAAUAUAUGUAUCUAGUCAAGAACCUAAAUCAAAUAUAUAAAUUAUUUAAUGUAUCUAAAAAAUAAAUUGUCUCUUGUAAAUAGGACCGGGGGAGUAAAAUACUACUCCCUUUGUGUGGGAAAAAGAUAUUAUGAGUUAUUUUACAAAAUUGUCCUUUUAUUAUAAAUUAUAUGAGAAAGAUAAAUGAAAGAGGAGAGAGUAACAAAUACUUAAGGAUAUAAUAGAAAAAGUAACAUUAAUAUUUUAUUGAUAUUAUAAAACAACAUAUGAUUUAGGACAAAUUUUUUCCAAAGCGACAUAAUUUGGGAUGAGCAGAACAAUAUUUUUUUGUUUAUAAAAAAAACAGAAGAAGUACAUCUUAACGUUACAUAAAAGUUAUUUUGACAAGCUUUCCAAUAUCGUUUUUUUAUACUAUUGUCAAUUUUAUAAUUUUUCUCUCUUUGUUUGGAUGUGUCGUGGAACAAGUUUUCUCGCGUCCUAAAGCAAAAAUUGCCGUGAUUUGAAAAAGCAACUAUAUGUAGCUUCACUGCAAACGUGAAUUCCUGCCGUGAUUUUGGCUUGAUGUGAAAAUGGUACCGCACAACCAAACAUAGGCGUAAUAACACCUACUUUAGAUGUGUUUUUCUACGAUGUUUCAGAAGUUGUUGCAUUUUGGUUGUUCAAAUAUCACUUUCUAAAGUUGACAUAAUUUUUUUUAUUUUUUUUUAUUUUUUUAUUUUAUCUUUUAUUCGAUAGACCAAUGAUAUCUUUCACACAUAACUCCAAAGAUUAAUUAUUUAAGAUAACUACAAUCCAUUUAAGGAAUUAUCUAUUUAAAAACAAAUAGUAUUUUUUUCAUACUAAUCGGUUUAUUAAAUAAAUCUAGUUUCCUUUAUCCAUUUUUAUAGGAUCUUGUAUUAAAAAGCACUAAUAUUAAAAAAGUUGUCGAAGUAAUAAAUUUGUCUAGAAUGUGUAUGACUAUUAAAUGUUAAUACCCUUUUAAUUAAGAAGUUUAAUGAAAAAAAUUAUUUAAGAAACAAUGUAUUUAAUUAUUUUCUACUACAUUGAAACUUUCCAAAGCUUUUUUUUUUUACAUAAAACUCAUUAUUUAUUUUCUCUAAAUUUUUAACAAGUGUCCUAACAUAACAUUAUAAGCAAGUGGAGUAUUAAGGAUGAUUGACCCUGUAAGUUUUUCACCCCAAGGGAUUGACUGAUCUUUGUUAAUGACUCUGCUCUCAAACGGACCAACCAAAAUGAAUUCUCAAUCCUCACGUGCGGGGUGAUUCCUUCUAGCCUUUGACAAUUCAUACUCCACAACAUGCAUUGAUACCCGUGAUUGACCCAUCUUCCUAAUACUUUUACAUUCAUGUGCUAUUUUUUAAUCAACCGACAAUAGUCGUUAAGUACUUACUUACUCCAUCAUGAUAUUUAAGCGCAUAUUCGAAAUAUGUUGGGUUUGAUCACAUUUGCAAUGUUUUUUUUUUUACGGUACUUCAUCCGUUCUUUUAUAAUUGUCACUUUUGCAUAAAAAAUUUGUUUUUAAUUAACUCUCAUUUUUAAAGUUCAUUACAUCAUUAAAUGUUGUUUUACUAUAUUACCCUUAGAUAUUUAUUGCAGAAUGAUAAAUAUAUGAAAUGAGGUAUUAAAUGAAUAAGGUUAUUAUAUGAAAAAGAUAAAUUGUUGCAUCAAAAGUAGUAAAAGUAUUUGUUGUUUUGGUUUGUGUAAAAAGUCAAAACAUGACAAUUAAAAAGAAACAGAGGAAAUACUAAUUUGCAGUGUGUUGGGUAGUACAAAUGUCAUAAAAAGUAUCUCUAACGAAGAUAUUAAGGGUGUGUUUGGUAAAAAUAAGCUAUAAGCUAGCUGAUAGCUGAAAAGCUAGCUUAUAGCUGAUGGCUGAUAGCUUAUAGCUGAAAAAGCUCGCUUAUUAAAAUUAAUGUGUUUGGUAAAGUUGGUGGUUGAAGUUGCUGGUAAAUAUAAAAUGACAUAAAAAUACAUAUCUAUUUUAUUUAUUUAUAAACAAUUUCACUUAAUAUAUUUAUUUUUAAAUAUUUUAAUUAUUUUCAUCUUUAAAAUGGUAAAUGUGGUAUUAAAUUAAAUUGUGAUUUUUGUGUAAUUAAACAUUUUAACUUUGAUAUAAUAUAUCUUUUUUAAAAGAACUUUCAUAUAAUAUAUCUUUUUUAUUUUUUGAAAAUUAUAUAGUUUUAUUUGAAAUUAUAAAUAGUAUAUAAACUAAUAGAAUGAAAGAGGAUCUAUAUAUAAAAGGAAAAAAGAAAGUGCAUGGCUGUUCAGCAAACCGGAAAAGAAGAAGAAAAAAUGGUAGUUACUUUGAUAACGUGGGUUUAGUGCUCACUUGUUUAAAAAAAAUAAUAAAAUAAAAAUAAAGGUUAAAAAUGGAAGAAAGUAUAAAAAGCUAUAAGCUAAAAAAUUACUUGAAUUAACUUCUUAAAAAACGCUAUAAGCCAGUAAGAAAAGCUUUUUACCAAACACAUCAUUCUAUCAAAACAAACUUAUAAGCUAAUCCAACAAACUAUAAACUAACUUUUUUGUAUUACCAAACACAACCUAAAUAAGUUUUAUUGAAGGAUGAACUCAAUUCUUAAUUUUUCACUCUAGGAGAAAUUUCAUGUAUGAGUAGCAUAAAAAUUGUAGAAAUAGCUUAAAUAACAUACAAUAUCAUCAUAAUACGAUGUCUUAUAAUCCCUUCUAAGAAAAUUGAUAUCAUAUCGUGACUUAAAUUUUACCAUUGGAGCAAAAUAUUGAUGAUUGAGAUGCAUUGUGACAUAACAUUGCAUGAUUAGUUUAUUAUUAGUAGUGUACAAAACUCAAAAUAGGAUCUUUAAAAUGAUUCCAUUGAAGAUGCCCUAAAGCAUUGUUUAAGAAACUAAAAAAAACAACUUUUAUAUAAAAGGGUGAUGUAAUUAUUAAUUUGACGGAAUUUGACUUUGGUGUUGCAUGCAGAGAGCAAAGGGCUCCUCAUAUCAUUGUACAUUGAGCAAAUGACUCUCUUCAAGGAGUGUCGUUGUAUGCAAAGAGCAAAACAUUCGGUCCAAAUAUAAAUCAUGAUGUUACUUAGUUCAAACCGCCUUCCCCAAAGAUGAAGUGCAACAUUGAUUGUGCACUUUUUAACAACAAUUCUAUCAUGGGUUCUUAGGGUGGCCCUAAGCAUGGGCGGAUGGAUGAUCGCCUAGGGCACCAACUUUUUAGGGAAAAUGUUUUCAUGGACACCUUUUUCUCCAUACACAUAUUGUACCACCUCCAUGUGAGAGUAUGUGAAAAGGAAAAUGUUACAUAGACACCAUUUAUUCUCAUACACCCUUCUACACCCCAUGCACUAGGAAGAGAGAAGAGAAGAUGAAAGAGAAAGUGUGCUUAUGUGAGAUCCACAUGAACACGUGUCAGAUUUUUAUAAGGAUGUCUAUGUAUCAUUACUCUGCGAUACAUGUCAUCUAAGGUGGUAUAUGUAUCACUUCCCUUUUUUUUUAGUAGUUAGUAUAGUGUGUGUAACUCACUUUUACUAAUUCUAUUGAAAAUAUAUUUUUAGAAAAUAUUAAUUACAAA
rnacentral:lncRNA from 1 species